rnacentral:misc_RNA from 1 species
UGUAUCUCCUUUCGACUUGGCGUUCUCUCCCCCCUGUGUUGAGUCUCUGAUUGGCUAUCGCACACGGUAGUCGGCGGCUGCACAGCGCAUCUUUACUUCCCUGUUACGUCUUCUGUAGGCGAGAAGGAUCUUUGCUCAGUUAUUUGUUUACGCUGCCGACAAUGGCCACUCUCAAGGUGCUGCUCUUACUGUGCUUGGCCACCUUGGUGGCAACGACGUGUUUCGCGCAGGUGGCGCAGGAGGCAGAGAUAAAUCCGCAUCCGCUGCUGUUUGUGUCCAAGACGACAUCGAGCGACGACAUCGUUCUCGGAUCCUCCGUGGAGGUGGUGGUCACGGUAACGAACUACGGCCAGAGUCCCGCCUUUGACGUGCAGAUAUCUGACCUGCUGGAGGACGGCUCGCUGCAGAGCAAGUCUAUCGCCUACCUCCCCUACGGCGCUUCGGAGACGCUGCGCUACACGGUGACCCCUACCGCACUGGGCAACUACGCCGUCUCCGUUGCUGAGGUGACGUACAAUGUUGAGCAGGGCAAUACUGCGACGGCCCGCAAGGCUCUCAGCAACCUGAUCCGCGAGGGCGAGGCGUACUACUACGGCGAGGGUGUCGAUGACGAGAGCUUUCGCGGCGUCAUCUCCGUCCUCACCCGCGACCGUUACGACCGCCUGCACGCGCGCUACAUCAAGGAGUCGACGGCGUACAUCUUCCUAGGCGCCAUCCCGGCGCUGUUUCCCUACGUACUGUACCGAGUGAAGCAGAGCGAGGUGGACGCGCUGCUCCGCCAGCGCAAGGCCAGCAAGUAGGUGGCUGAGCGUUGGCGUAUGGCGAGGGUGAUUCGCCCACCCGACCCACACUCACAUGCACUACCACCAGCGACUAGUGGCCAUCUCCCAGUCUGCCUCGUGAGUGCCCAUGAUAGUGGAAAGAAGAGAGGAAGAGGGACUAACUCGGAAGGGACGAAGGGGGCAGGUUUGAGGAGAUCGCUAGCCGCCACUCCCGGGGCUCACCUCGAUGCUCGUGUGUGUCUCUCUCAUCGUUGCCCCCGUAAAGUGGCUGCUUCAAUCAACGCAACGACGGAGAAAGGGAGGGAAAGGAUGCGAUUUGGGCUUCUGAUGACGACCUUUUUUUUGCUUCUUCCUCGUCCGCUUCGUUGUUGUGACUUAAAUGUCAAGUAGGCAUUCGACAUGCGUGCGAACGUUGGGUGGUUCGGUAAAUAUAACUCUUCUUCCGCCGUCGCCGCCUCACUCUUUUUUUUCUCCAAAUGGAUGCAUCGUGCACGCAAAGGUCGUGCCUCCUUACCUUGGCCCGUUUUGGGACGCCUCUUGAUCUCUUCUUGAGCCUCCCCCUUCCCUUCGGACCACUGACACGCUGACGAGCUACGAAGAAUGGUGUGCGCCUUUAUCUCACUUCCCACUUGUCGUGCACACACUAUACUGUGCGUGUGUGUGUGGCUGCGAUCUUUGGUUGUGGCCUUCAUCCAUCCCUCUCCUUGACUCAAGCGCCUGCGCGUGCGUACCUCUGUGCGCCGAAGUGAUCGUCAUUGGGCUUCUUUGUUCUUGUGUUGUGAAGUCGUCUUUUGUAUUUGUUUUGGUUGGUGAAAAAAGUACUUCUAAGCACACACGUGAG